rnacentral:pre_miRNA from 1 species
AGGAGGAACAACCGCAGUGGCGGCGGCCAGCUCUGGAGCCCUGGAGUCAGCCCCCGCAGUAGCUCCAGAGCUCUCCGUCUGCAGGGCCUGGAGGCUCUGGGGCGGG